ACAAGCCAACUUAGGUACUACAAAGACCUUGAAGACAGCUCAACCAUUGCUCGACUCUCUCGUUUUAGGGGACCCAAGAUAGAUCCAGGGAAGGGAACACGACUCGUAUGGCAUCCCCCUUGGCCAAAAGGCAACACUCAGUCUCUGUUUGUGUGUCGGCUUGGGAGAAUUUGGGUCUGUUUGGCCAUGAGUGAGCUCUUGCCAGAUAAACCCUCAGCUAAAUCAUCAUCGUUUUCUCAUGACCAUCACCCACCCCCCUUCCAUUUCCAUUAUUCUCUUCAACUUGCGGCGUAUUUUCUAGAUGACCCCAAAAAAUCCCAAACCCUAGCCGCAAUGCAACAGUAUCGAGUGGAGUCAGUGGUUGCUGUAUAACAGCAAACCCACAGGGAAACGACGCCGUUACAUGAGGAAUUUCCAGAUUCCUCCGUUCUUACUUUCAAUUUCUGCAAGGGUGAGAAACAGAGCCAGUUUGCAGGAAUAUUAUGCGAGGAUGAGGUUACCAUCAUGGACUAUCCACGACAGUAUGAGGGCUAUCCCUUCCUUCCACUGUCUUUGAUUCAACAUCUUCUUUGUGUUUGUGAGAGUUGGCUUUCACUUGGAAAUCAGCGGGAAAAAAAUUGUAUGGCUCCUUCUGCAACAUGCUGCCCAAGUAAGCCAAAAGAAAGUUGGGGUUGAUUUCUCUUCAUGUCACUGCCGCUAAUGUGAAGAAAGACUAUAUUGACUGUACUGAGCUUCGUUUAAGAUGGGGAGCAAAUAGCGGGGUCCUCAAAUUGCGUAGACAAAGACCCAUAGACUUGGCAAAGUCUCAAGAUAUGCGUUUCAUGAUGAAUCCAACCAAUAUUAGCCACAUGAAUCGUACUUUCUCAAUUCAACGUGAGUAUAGUAGUUUUCAAGGUGAUGAACUGAUUUUAGAGACAUGUGAUGCAAAUUUACAAAUUUACAUGUAAGGGCUGGGUCUAGGUUGUGCACAUUGUGAGAUGGUGGUGACUGCUAGAUGGGCUGUGAACCUUGACAUUCCUUGUCUAAUUCAGAACUUGGGUGUAGCUCAUAAGGUGUUUGAAGAAAUAUUUACGAGAGGGAAUCAAGUCAAGUCUGUCAAGAUGCCCGAAGCCUAAUAUUUUUCUGAGACUAGUGACUCUGGUCAAUCUUUGAGUGGUACCCAAAGGAGGAUUAAUGUUUAUCUUACAAUGCUAUUACCAGAUGCCACUUACACAAAGGUUAAUCUUGAACUUGAAGGAAUUUCCAUCACCUCCACUAGAGCAACAUCAACAGCAGGCGACCUCAUCUACGAGCUAAAAUUGAAAUUUUUUGAUAAUGUUGAUGCAAAGAAAACCAAACUAAAUAUAGGAGCAAUAGAGGCAGCAAGAGGCGUUGCUUAUAUCCCUUCAGAGAGUGAGAUGAAGCUUGUUCAUGGCAUCAACCAAAACUCAAACAUCUUUCAACAUGAAUCGGUAAGGUGUUCGAUUGUGGUAAUACCCUACCUUAAUUAUAAUGUGUUUUUGAAUGUGUAUGGGAAAAUGGGUUUACCUUGGAAAAAAAUUGGAGGUGGUUAUCGGCAUGAAGAGUAAAGAGUAUGGUUUUGCUCAAUUUGGGUCUUGGAAGAAACUGGAGGGCGCAAAAGAAAAAAAAUGCUUAUUGUUGGAUCUGGUGCACUAGGCUGUGAGUUAUGUGGCAUAACUUUAGAGUUAGAGCUGUCCAUAGGUGGAAUGUACCAGAGAGAGCCUUAUUCAAGUGGGGGUACUAAUGCUACAAUGCUCUUAACCUUGAGGACAAGGUUUUCUAGGGGGGGGGGGUGAAUGUUAUGAACCUCAAUUGGACUCAGUUCAAGAGAGAAGUUAGAAGCUGAAGCCAUGAAGAUAAAAGGUAUCAGAGCAGUGUUGAGUUCGAAAUGGGCUGCCGAGGAGGAAACGGUGCCGUUCAAUACAAGCAGUGUAGCCAUGAAGUGCUGCGUUUCAUGUUAGUGAGGUGUUGCGUUUCAUGUUGUAGUAGGUGGCCUUGCCACAUGUCAAGUAGAAUGGCUGUGCCAGAAGUUAGGGGAUUCUGUUAGAAGAGUUAGUUAUUUUCCCUGUAAUUUCUUAUUAGUAGAAGGGAAGGGAAAGGGAGGGGGCAUUGGGGAAUCAUCUGAUCAAUUUCCUGUAAGUUUCCUUUUGGAGGAAGGAAUGGCCUCGAACACACUCCGGCGUAUGAGUAUUUUCUAUUAUUUUCUUGUGUAGUCCAUUUCAUCUUUAUUACAUCAGAUCCUUUGUACUUCAUUACAGUCCCUAUACAAGCAGGUACUUAACAGUUGAUUCGUAUUCUUCGCUGAAGGGAUUUUCAUUGAUUCGGCUAAGAGAUUCACAAUUGGACCUGAUUCCAAACGUGGCAUUGCUCUCUUCUCGACGGUUGCUUGAUUGAGAAGACAAAAGGUCCUAACCUCCCUCAUUCUUUUAGCUUUGUGUCCUAGAAAGACGGCAACUGUAAUGGCUGUGAAGGAGACCUUAAGGUCAGCCUCUUGGCACUUUUUCCAGUACAUUAUUCUUGGUGGAUAAGAUUUAUUGGUGCUAAGGGUGAUCAUCGAAGGCAUGUCCUGUAUUCUCUAGUUGCUAGUAGUCUUUUAACUUUGAGUCGUUUGAAUUUAAUCAUUUUUUUUUAACUUAUCAAUCUAUCAAUGUUAAUGCUUGUCAUGGAGCAUGUUGAAUUGGAUGGGGUGGGGACUGUUGUUACUCUAGUUCAGAACCGUGCCAUGGAGCGCUUUGGAAUCAUGGUGUUACUCUACUUAUGCUGCUUGUCUAAAUUCUUGAUGAAUUUCAUCGCUCUCCCUUUUGCCUGUCGUUCGUAUAACACCUUAUAAGCUAUCUUUGACUAUGAUGAACUUCUUACUUUGUGUUGCAAACACUCUUCUUGAGAUAGGUUCUGCAUCAGAUAUGUGCAGAUAAAUUUGAAUGAAUAUAAUCAUUGGUUGAUAGGUUUGGGUCUGCUUGUGCAAAGUCCACAUACAUUGAUUAAUAUACAUCAUAUCAAACCAACUCCUCAAAUAAACACCUAGUUUUAGUAAUUUUGCAUGACCUCAUCUGAUAGGAUAAAUCUGUAUGCUUGAGUAUUUAUAUAGGGUUUCCUCAUAAGACACGCCACCCUGGAAUUGUCCUUUUAAGUUGGAAAGGAUGGCGGCUUAUGGUCUUUUAACUCUAAAUAUUCUGCAUGCUCAAGUGUGUCAAUUGCAAGUGUAUUUGCUGUUAGCCUACUUUGGUUGAAACCAUAUGAAACUCUAAUUUCUAUAAGAUGAUUGCCUACUUUUUUUUAAGAGCCUCGUUAAUAAUCUCAGUGAACUUUGUUUAGGUUAGGUAGUCUUGCAAAAAUGUAAGUGUUAAAACUAAUUCCAUUUUCUAUAAAUAAAUUCAUAUGUGAAUCAUGUUAGACAUGACUUGUCGGGUAACUGGUGAUUACAAGUGUUCUAAUCCUUUAAUCAUUGUUAUUAAACCAUUUUUCCAGUGUCUUUCAACAGUGAAUACUUCUUGCUGAUCUUUUGCACAUCAUAAUAUGCUAUUCUUAUUUCAAUCUUCUUUGUAAAUGAGAUAAGAAAGGAAGCCUAGUUGGAGCCUGCUCUGUCUACAGAAGAUACUUUGGUACAUACCAUGCUGGUACUAGAGUGAGAUUCAUGAAUGAAUUUAAAAAUGAUUAAGCUGAAGUCUGGCUAAUACGGAAGAAAAGAACAAUCAAUGGAGAAUUUCAUACGUCCAAAGUCAAAGAGAUUCGCAUCAUAAAUAAGGAAGGAAAGAGCAAUUAAUGAAAAAUAUUCAGAAUCUGUAGCUUCUCUGAGUAGCCAACAGUAUUAUGGUCAUAUCUUUCCUGUCCAAUUUUCGAUUGAGGCGAAUCAAGAUGUGUUGGAAAACACAUUUAAUGGGCUAUAUUUGUUCCAAAAAUAGCAAUUUUCUAAUUCAGCCUUUUACUAUGCAACAAACGGCUUUUAAUAUGCAAUUGGAAAUCGGGAACACUACCUCCGUGAGAUUGGCACGUGAUUUUCUUUCCAAAAAGAUGAUGGCUUCAAGGAAGAAGGAAAAAUGUCUACAAUGUGGAAAGAGGGGUUUCUUUUGGGCAGAAAGACAUCUUCCAGAAAAAGAAUUCUUCUUCUUUCGAAUGGAGAGCUAAUUACUUGGUGAAGGUAGGGAUGAACUUGCUUGAAUGAUGAUGAUUUCAAUUCUAUGGAUUCAUGUAAUAAACUUUCUUGCUGAUACAAUUCUUGUUUAUCAUAUCUUAUUAGUCUUUCUUGUAUUUGGAUAAUUUUAUAACCAAUGCUUUUCAUAGGUUU